rnacentral:misc_RNA from 1 species
GAUGAAGAACGUAGCGAAACGCGAAAUGUAAUGUGAAUUGCAGAACCUCCAGUGAAUCAUCGAAUCUUUGAACGCACAUUGCGCCCUUUGGUAUUCCUUAGGGCAUGCCUGUUCGAGCGUCAUUUAAACCUUCAAGCUAAGCUUGGUGUUGGGUGACUGUCCGCUUCACGGCGGACUCGCCUCAAAAUUAUUGGCGGCCGGUACAUUGGCUUCGAGCGCAGCAGAAACGCGAACUCGGGCCCGUCGUAUUGGCUCCCAGAAGCUAUCUUCACAAUUUUGACCUCGGAUCAGGUAGGGAUACCCGCUGAACUUUAGCAUAUCAAUAAGCGGAGGA